rnacentral:lncRNA from 1 species
AUUUUACUCUAUACUCUCUGGCCCUAAAUACAGCUUGGUGAAGGCAAAUUUUGGCUGAGGUAUAAAAGUUUAACCUCCAACACCAUCCUACAACUAGACCUAUUUUGUAGAAAUCAAAGGUAGUGCUCUAAAGACUCUAAAGGCCUGAUGUCCAGGCCUCUGCCACUCUGUAACAAGACUGGAGGUGAUACUAAGAAAACUAAGCUGUAAAGGACACACUAGAAGUAAAGUUUCCUGCCAUAUAUCUAUUUCUCUGCUUAUAGCACUCCCCGUGGAAACAAUACUUGGUUGAACCCUCAGGGGCAAUUAAAAUUCAUGAUUCUUUUUUUUAACAACCCUUAACAAAACAAGAAAAACUUGAAAGCUUCACCAGGGAGCCCCCAAACAUUACCAGCCAACUGGUGCACAUAGGACAUACCUAAGUCUGUUUUCUGUCUUGGUUUCUUUGUCUUGUGGGAACUUCCAAAAAGCCUGAUUUUUCUCCUUGUGUCCUAACAGGUCUUUCUUCUACUUUUGAAAUGGUUAAAACUUUUCUUUUCUCUAGGCCUACUGCUUUUUUACUGCCCAGAAAUUAUCUCUAAAACUUACCCAAAUAACUAUAGUAGCCUAGCAACAUUCAAUAAUACAGAGCCUUGGGCUCCACAGACUUAACUGUUGAGCCUUGCCUUCUCAGCGUUAAACAACUGAGACAUGGAACACGCUAUCACAUGACCUACAGUUAAAGGUACUGAAGACAAAUUGACAAAAGGCAUUACAGCCUUCCCAAGUCAAAUUUGUUCACUCCAAAGACAGAGAUAGAAAGUUCUUUGUUAAUGUUUGCCUCAUUUGUGUUUAUAUUUGUUUUCAUGCAAUUAUGUAUCAUUCUAUGUUAAGACAACAUAAAACUCAGUCGACCCUCAGAAUUUCUCAUAGUAGUUGAGUAAAACACUUGUGGCUACUUAAAAUACCAACCAACAGUAGCAGUGAAACUAGCUAUAUAAGUUUGCUCCUUGUUGUGUAAGAGAAAAAUGGCUACGAUAAGUCUUAAGAUAAUAAUAACAUCAUAUUUUAAGGUAAAUUAAAGACAACCUUUGCCUAUCUACCUACUAUCUCAUCUUUGAAAACAGGCUUUUCAACUUUCUUAUCACUUAAGCUUUAAUAAGAAAGAGAAGGAUCAUGUAAAAACCAGUCUGGCUCAGCUUACUUAAAACUUUUUAACUAUCAGGCUAGACUCUGUCUUUAAAAAAUAAAAACUCAUAUGCUUUAUAUUAAGAGUAUUAUCUUUAAAAGUACAGAUUUAGAUUAAGAAUGGCUAUAAAAGAUGAUAUGGUCACCAGUCUAAAAUACACUUACAAAUAAUACAAAUAUUUGAUAUUUUUAAAAAAUGUCUGUAUAUCUGACUGUCAGGGUGUAUGUAUAUCUACAAUUGCUUCUGAUUUUAUAAAAAUUGCACAAUACCAGAUUGAAUUAUAAUUAAAUGAUCAUGGUAAUUAAAACUGUCAAUUUAGCCCAUAUUUGUUUUAAUUAAUAAUGUAAAAUUUUAAAACAAAAAAUAGAUGAACAGUCUCUGUUGAAAUGUUAUUUGGUUGAUUGUUGUCUCAGCUCUGAUUCUGUGAGCAAUCUAAACAAGACUGUUGCUUAGAAAAUAAAGUAGCUCUAAAGGCAUGAUGGCUUCUGCUCCAGGGUUCAACUCCCCAUGGACAUUUCCCCUAUUUGGAAGAUAAUCUUCUAAGCUAUUCUUAAAAUUAAAAUGGAGAAAGUUACUUGGUCCCAUGCUUCCAGCUCUCUCUCCUUUUCUUUUUUUUUUUUUAAUGUUUUUGUUUUUGUUUUGUUUUGUUUUGUUUUUUGUCUUUCUGAGGCAGGGUUUCUCUGUAGCCCUGGCUGUCCUCAAUCUAAAGAAGAUCUAUCUUCCUCUACCUUCCAGGUUGUGGGAUUCAAGGCAUGAGCCACCACUGCACAGCUGCUCUCUACCUUCUUUAUAGUAUAUUUAAAGGACAAAUUAUUCUUUAAAUAAUAUCUAAAAAGCAUUUUAAAUUUUAUCAAAUAAUUUUAAUAGUUUAUCCUCAAGUAUUAGACUUAGGUUUACUUUAAAAAAUGUUUUUGCCAAGCUCUGUUAUACAAUUAAAUUUUAAAGCAAGGUUUGUUUUUCAACACUUGGUAAUUGACCUUUGGGUCUUCACUAACUACUUGAAGAGUUACACUAAUGUAGACGUAGAGACUAAGUAGGCAGCUGGUAUUUUGGCCCUUGCCCCCAGCUCGUCUGUUGAGGAUGAUGCUACACUUCUUGCCUACUGCACUGAUGACUUAUCUGUCCUCCUGAUCCAAAGAUUGGGCUCAAGACCACUGUACACUUCGUAUACAAACAGCAGGGCCAACACAAAAGAAAAGUCUCCAGAACUUCCAAGGGAGACCACAUCGUCAGCAGGUGUUACCCUUACCAGCUGAUAACAUAAAUAAUAAAGAAAACUAAAGGAGCCUCUCUCCAGUAACUCCUGUGGACCAGAUCCUUGCCUAGCUCUUAAAGAAGAAAAAAAAGAAAAAGCUAAUUUGGGGCUAUGUAAAUGUAAAUAUACAUUUGCUUAUAAAUACCUAACAGAAAAGUAGAAACC